rnacentral:rRNA from 1 species
UCGGAAUCACUGGGCGUAAAGCGCACGUAGGCGGCUUCUUAAGUCAGGGGCGAAAUCCUGGAGCUCAACUCCAGAACUGCCCUUGAUACUGAGGAGCUCGAGUCCGGAAGAGGUGAGUGGAACUGCGAGUGUAGAGGUGAAAUUCGUAGAUAUUCGCAAGAACACCAGUGGCGAAGGCGGCUCACUGGUCCGAUACUGACGCUGAGGUGCGAAAGCGUGGGGAGCAAACAGG